rnacentral:rRNA from 1 species
AUUGAACGCUAGCGGGAUGCUUUACACAUGCAAGUCGAACGAGUGGGGGACGGGUGAGUAAUAUAUCGGCACGUGCCCAGUAGCGGAGGAUAACUACUCGAAAGAGUGGCUAAUACCGCAUACUGUAGGAGCGGCCGAAAUCGGAUUAGCUAGGUGUUGGGGUAAAGGCUACCCAAGGAAACGAUCCGUAGCUGGUUUGAGAUGACGACCAGCCACACUGGGACUGAGACACGGCCCAGACUCCUACGGGAGGCAGCAGUGGGGAAUCUUGGACAAUGGGGGAAACCCUGAUCCAGCCAUCCCGCGUGUAUGAGAAGGCCUUCGGGUUGUAAAGUACUUUUGGCAGAGAAGCGGUAUCUGCAGAAUAAGCACCGGCUAACUACGUGCCAGCAGCCGCGGUAAUAC